rnacentral:tRNA from 1 species
GAUAGCUCAGUCGGUAGAGCAAUCGGCUGUUAACCGAUCGGUCGUAGGUUCGAGUCCGAUUCCCGGACGGGUCACCA